ACGUACACUCCUGCGGGAGGCAGCAGUGGGGAAUAUUGCACAAUGGGCGCAAGCCUGCUGCAGCCAUGCCGCGUGUAUGAAGAAGGCCUUCGGGUUGUAAAGUACUUUCAGCGGGGAGGAAGGCAAUACGGUUAAUAACCGUGUUGAUUGACGUUACCCGCAGAAGAAGCACCGGCUAACUCCGUGCCAGCAGCCGCGGUAAUACGGAGGGUGCAAGCGUUAAUCGGAAUUACUGGGCGUAAAGCGCACGCAGGCGGUCUGUCAAGUCGGAUGUGAAAUCCCCGGGCUCAACCUGGGAACUGCAUUCGAAACUGGCAGGCUUGAGUCUUGUAGAGGGGGGUAGAAUUCCAGGUGUAGCGGUGAAAUGCGUAGAGAUCUGGAGGAAUACCGGUGGCGAAGGCGGCCCCCUGGACAAAGACUGACGCUCAGGUGCGAAAGCGUGGGGAGCAAACAGGAUUAGAUACCCUAGUAGUCCC
rnacentral:rRNA from 1 species